rfam:Citrus clementina cultivar Clemenules unplaced genomic scaffold scaffold_4, whole genome shotgun sequence.
UCCCCGUGAUGAAAUAUUUAGUAAUCCGAGCACGUGCAUGAAGAAUUGGUGCUCCCUUUGUUUUCUUGUAAAGGUUGAGGAACCAAUGUUUCGUGCAAGGUUGAUACUAGGCAUUUUGAGGGAU